UCUUCGGCAAUGGGGGAAACCCUGAUGCAGCGACGCCCCGUGAGUGAUGAAGUAUUUCGGUAUGUAAAGCUCUAUCAGCAGGGAAGAAAAUGCCGGUACCUGACUAAGAAGCCCCGGCUAACUACGUGCCAGCAGCCGCGGUAGUACGUAGGGGGCAAGCGUUAUCCGGAUUUACUGGGUGUAAAGGGAGCGUAGACGGCAUGGCAAGCCAGAUGUGAAAGCCCGGGGCUCAACCGCGGGACUGCAUUUGGAACUGUCAGGCUAGAGUGUCGGAGAGGAAAGCGGAAUUCCUAGUGUAGCGGUGAAAUGCGUAGAUAUUAGGAGGAGCACCAGUGGCGAAGGCGGCUUUCUGGACGGUGACUGACGUUGAGGCUCGAAAGCGUGGGGAGCAAACAGG
rnacentral:rRNA from 1 species